UCAAAUCCCCGGGAGACCAACCAACCUCCGCACCUCCACAAACACGCUCUCCCAAAUCGGAGAGCCAAACCCUUCCCAUCCCGGCUGCUUCCCCCCGAAACCCUAGCCUCGCUUCCGGAAUGCCCCAGUAGCACCAAUCGGCGCCUCACCGCCAUGGAUCCGGGCGGCGGGGGCGCGAUGCUCCUGGAGGACUUCGGGCAGCGCGUGGACCUCACGCGCCGCAUCCGCGAGGUGCUCGCCAACUACCCGGAGGGCACCACCGCGCUUCGGGAGCUCAUCCAGAACGCCGACGACGCCGGCGCCGCGCGCGUCCGCCUCUGCCUCGACCGCCGAUCGCACGGGACCGCGUCGCUGCUGGCCCCCGCGCUCGCGCAGUGGCAGGGCCCCGCGCUGCUUGCUUACAACGACGCCGUGUUCACCGACGAGGACUUCGCCAGCAUCUCCCGCAUCGGGGACAGCAUGAAGGUCGCGCAGACAUGGAAGACGGGACGCUUCGGGGUUGGUUUUAACUCAGUUUACCACUUGACUGACUUGCCAUCAUUUGUGAGUGGCAAGUAUGUUGUCCUAUUCGACCCUCAGGGUGCUUAUCUUCCAAAUGUGUCGGCAGCAAAUCCUGGAAAGCGCAUAGAUUAUGUCAGUUCAUCAGCAAUUACGAUGUACAAUGAUCAGCUCUCACCCUAUUGUGCGUUUGGCUGCGACAUGAAAGCAUCAUUUCAGGGAACUUUGUUUCGUUUUCCUUUGAGAAGUACUGAGCAAGCAUCUUCAAGCCGGUUAUCAAGACAGUCAUACACAGAAGAUGAUAUUUUAUCUCUUUUUGCUCAACUGUACCAAGAAGCUGUAUAUAAUUUGCUUUUCCUUAAAAAUGUCCUGUCACUUGAGAUGUAUGUAUGGGAAUCUGGUAUGACUGAGCCAAAGAUAGUGUACUCUUGCUCCUUAGGAUCAAAAGAUGAAAAUCUGUCCUGGCAUCGCCAAGCCCUCAUCAGAUUCUCUGGCAGUAUUGCUGAAUCUUCUAAGCAUAAGGUGGAUUCAUUCUCGAUGGGUUUCAUAUCAGAGGCAUUCUUGGGCAAGGAGUUUGAGAAAAAGAGCUCUACCUAUUUUAUUGUUCAGGGAAUGGCACCUGCAUUAAGUAAAAUUGGUACUUUUGCAACUGCAGCUGCCAAGGAGUAUGAUCUUCACUUACUGCCUUGGGCUUCUGUUGCUGCUCGCAUCUCCGAAGCAGGGCUUGAGGAUACUGUUCUCAGACAGGGACAUGCAUUCUGUUUUCUUCCUUUGCCAGUAAGGACAGGGUUAUCUGUGCACGUCAAUGGUUAUUUUGAAGUUUCAUCCAACCGACGUGACAUUUGGUAUGGUGCUGACAUGGACAGGGGUGGUAAGCUUCGCUCUGACUGGAACAGGCUACUGUUGGAAGAUGUUGUAGCUCCACUGUUCAGGGAACUACUGCUGGAAUUGCGAAUGCUUUUAGACCCCACAAUAUCAUAUUAUUCGCUGUGGCCAACUGGUUUAUUCGAAGAGCCCUGGAGUAUCCUUGUGGAACAAAUAUACAAGGUCAUAUAUGACUCUCCAGUCUUGCAUACAGAGAUUGAAGGCGGGACCUGGAUAUCUCCAGCUGAUGCUUUGCUGCAUGAUGAGAGAUUCUCAGGAUGCAGUAGUCUAAAUGAGGCUCUUGUGUUGAUAGGCAUGCCUAUUGUUCGCCUACCUAAGGCAAUCAUUGAUAUGUUUUCAAAAUUUUAUACGCAGUCUAUGCUCAAAAUAAUAAGUCCUGCUAUAGUGAGGAAUUUCCUCAAGAAUUAUGGAAAACUUGCUACAUUAGGAAAAUCUCAUAAGUUAGUAUUAUUGGAAUAUUGCCUCACUGAUGUUAACAGCGCUGAUAUUGGUAAAUGCAUGAAUGGCCUCCCACUGAUUCCACUAGCAAAUAUGCAGUAUGGGAUAUUUUCUGAUAGUUCCCAUGAGGACUAUUAUUAUGUGUGUGAUAACAUAGAAUAUGAGCUUCUCUCUGAAGUUGGUGAUAGAAUAGUUGACAGAAGCAUUCCCACUGUACUACUAAACAAGCUGUAUCAGAUAGCCAGUGGUUCUCAGGCCAACAUUAAGCUCAUCGAUGGCCCAAUCUUUCGUCAGCUCUUACCCAGGAUAUUUCCUCCAGAAUGGAAGGGUAGAGAUCAAGUUCCCUGGAAUCCGGGAUUGGAUGGGUCAUUGCCUUCAGCAGCCUGGUUUAAACUCUUUUGGCAAUAUAUAGGGGAACGCUCGUAUGACCUUUAUUUGUUUAGUGAUUGGCCUAUACUGCCAUCUACUUCUGGUAAGCUUCACAGGUUACAUAAAGGCUCAAAGUUAAUCAAAACAGAAUCACUGUCUAGUUUGAUGAAUGAACUCCUGACAAAGUUAGGUUGCAAGAUACUGGAUACCAAAUAUCUUAGUGAGCAUAAGCAGUUAUCAUAUUAUGUGUAUGAUGGCGAUGCAACUGGAGUUAUUCAGUCAAUCUUCGGGGUUGUAUCGUUGGAGGGUGUCGAUUUGCAAUCUCUGUUUCAGCGCAUUACUCCCAGUGAAAGAAAUGAACUAUACCAGUUUCUUCUGGAUCCAAAAUGGUAUUUAGGAGUCUGCCUUUCUGACAUAAGCAUAAGUAAUUGCAAAAGGCUGCCAAUCUUCAGGGUAUUCGAUGGAGGUUCUCCCAGUUCUUAUGGCUUCUCAGAUUUAUACAGUUCAAUAAAGUACCUGCCACCUCUUGGCGUUCCUAAUCACUUACUCAAGGCUGACUUUAUCUUCUCUAUCUGCCCAAGUGAUGAAGACAUCAUAAUGAGAUACUAUGGUGUUGAGCGCAUGCCAAAGUCAAACUUCUACCAGAGGUAUGUUCUGAAUAGGUUAGACAAGCUGCAAACAGAUUUGCGUGAUUCAGUUCUAUUAACCAUCUUACAAGAUCUGCCUCAGCUGUCCUUGGAGGAUCCGAUGUUCAAGGAAGCCUUGAAAGUCCUUAGAUUUGUUCCCACUGUCAGUGGGACCUUAAAAAGUCCACAAUCUCUUUAUGAUCCCCGGGUAGAAGAACUCUAUGUUCUUCUCCAGGAAUCAGAUUGCUUUCCGCAUGGUUUAUUUCAGAAUCCAGAUGUUCUUGAUAUGCUACUUUGCUUGGGGCUUAGAACUUCUGUUUCUACUGAUACCAUAAUACAAAGUGCUCGGCAAAUUGAUUCACUUGUGAACAUAGAUCAGCAGAAGGCUCAUUCAAGGGGUAAGGUUCUUCUUUCAUAUCUUGAAGUUCAUGCUCACAAAUGGUAUGUAAAUAAGCUAUCUGAUGGUCGAAAGAAGGUAAACAUGCUAGCUAAAGUUACCACUGCACUCAGGCCUCGUGAUAAAUCUUGGGAAUUUGAUCUUGAAAAGUUUUGGAGUGAUCUGAGAAUGAUUUGUUGGUGUCCUGUGUUGGUUACUGCUCCAAGUCCAGCUUUGCCAUGGCCUUCAGUAUCAUCAAUGGUAGCUCCACCUAAGCAAGUAAGGAUGCAAGAAGAUAUGUGGAUUGUUUCUGCUAGCUCACGUAUUCUUGAUGGUGAAUGCACUUCCUCAGCCUUGUCGUUCAGCUUAGGUUGGUUGUCUCCUCCAUCAGGAAGCAUUAUUGCAGCUCAACUGCUUGAAUUAGGCAAGAACAAUGAAAUUGUGACUGAUCAAGUCCUUCGGCAAGAAUUAGCUUUGGUGAUGCCUAAGAUUUACUCUCUAUUGACAAGCUUGAUUGGUUCUGAUGAAAUGGAUAUUGUGAAAGUCGUUCUAGAGGGCUGCAGAUGGAUUUGGGUGGGGGAUGGAUUUGCGAAAGCGGAUGAAGUUGUUUUAAGUGGCCACCUUCACCUGGCACCGUACAUCCGUGUUGUUCCAAUUGAUUUGGCGGUGUUCAAGGACUUGUUCUUAGAGCUUGGCAUAAAGGAGCACCUGCAUCCUGUGGAUUAUGCUAGUAUUCUCAGCAGAAUGGCCAUAAGGAAAGCUUCGGCUUCACUUGAAGCUGAAGAACUAAGAACAGCUAUCUUAGUUGUGCAGCAUCUAGCUGAGUUCCGGUUUCAGGACCAGCAAACACAAAUUUAUUUACCUGAUUCUUCAUCUAGGCUCUGUCUAUCUUCUGAACUUGUAUUUAAUGAUGCUCCUUGGCUGCUUGAUUUUGGUCAUGACAUCUCUGGGACUGCAUCAAGCAUGGCUUUAAGCUCGAAAAAGUAUGUUCAUAAUUUUGUUCAUGGGAACAUUUCUAAUGAUGUGGCAGAAAGGCUUGGUGUCCGCUCUCUUCGCCGCCUCUUACUUGCUGAGAGUUCUGAUUCGAUGAAUUUGAGUUUGUCAGGGGUUGCUGAGGCUUUUGGACAGCAUGAAGACUUGACUACACGACUCAAACACAUUGUUGAGAUGUAUGCAGAUGGCUCUGGAAUUCUCUUUGAGUUGGUACAGAACGCAGAAGAUGCUAAGGCUUCUGAGGUUGUAUUUUUACUGGAUAAGACUCAGUAUGGUACUUCAUCCAUUCUUUCACCUGAAAUGGCUGAAUGGCAAGGGCCUGCUCUCUACUGCUUUAAUGAUUCAGUUUUUAGCCCACAGGACCUUUAUGCCAUCUCACGAAUAGGUCAAGAUAGCAAACUUGAGAAACCUUUUGCAAUUGGAAGGUUUGGUCUUGGCUUCAAUUGUGUGUAUCACUUCACUGACAUUCCUGGAUUUGUUUCCGGUGAGAAUAUUGUCAUGUUUGAUCCACAUGCCUGUUACUUGCCAGGAAUAUCUCCGUCUCAUCCAGGUUUAAGGAUAAAGUUUGUAGGAAGAAGGAUCUUGGAUCAGUUCCCUGAUCAGUUCACCCCAUUCUUACACUUUGGUUGCAAUUUGCAAGAGCCAUUUCCAGGUACACUCUUCCGGUUCCCUCUUAGGAAUGAGGCUGCUGCUUCAAGAAGUCAAAUAAAGCGAGAGCAAUAUGCACCACAAGAUGUGGAAAUGCUUUUCUCUUCAUUCUCUGAAGUUGUAUCUGAGGCUCUACUUUUUCUCCGCAAUGUUAAAAAGGUAACUCUAUAUGUCAAGGAGAACAACAGUCAGGACAUGCGGCUUGUUCAUUAUGUUUCGAAGCAUAAUAGUUAUCAGAUGGCUAAAGAACCUCAUGCACUUAAUACAAUGCUUGCCUUUAUACAUGGAAACCAACCAUCUGGAAUGGAUAGGAAUCAAUUUUUCAGUAAGUUGAACAGGACUAAAGACAGUGAUUUGCCCUGGAGUUGUCAGAAGGUUGCAAUUCUUGAGCAAAACCCUUCUGCGCACUGGAUGCAUUCAUGGAUUUUAGCUGAGUGUAUAGGAGGGGGUCAUGCUAGAAAGUUGUCAACUGCCUCUGGUAGUAAAUCUCACUUCUUUGUUCCAUGGGCAUCUGUUGCUGCAUAUCUGCAUUCAGUGAGUGUAGAUGAUACACAAGAACUAUCUUCUGUAGCUGAAGUCAACCAUGACAAUUCAGUUUCCACAAACUCAGAUCUUGGAUCUUCCCAGGUCAGGAAAAAUUUUGAGGGUCGGGCCUUUUGCUUUCUUCCUCUACCAAUCAACACUAGCAUACCGGUGCAUGUAAAUGCUUAUUUUGAACUAUCUUCAAAUCGAAGGGAUAUCUGGAUUGGAAAUGACAUGGCCGGGGGAGGAAGAGUACGGUCAGAAUGGAAUCUAGCGCUGCUUAAAGAUGUUGUUGCUCCUGCUUAUGGCCACCUGCUCGCAGCCAUUGCAGAAGAGCUUGGUCCCUCUGACCUUUUUCUGUCAUUUUGGCCCAGUGCUGUAGGUUUGGAGCCAUGGUCUUCCAUGAUUAGGAAGCUUUAUGUAUCUAUUGCAGAACUUGGACUUCAUGUUUUGCAUACAAAAGCUCGAGGUGGCCACUGGGUGUCAACAAGGCAAGCUAUUUUUCCAGAUUUCAGUUUUCCGAAGGCGAUAGAGCUGGCAGAAGUUCUCUCUCAGGCUGGUUUGCCUGUGGUGUCUGUAUCCAAGGCAAUAAUUGACAGCUUCAUUAAUGCGUGUCCAUCAAUUCAUCUACUAAAUCCUCAUUUGUUGAGGAACUUGUUGAUCCGACGGAAGCGUGGCUUCAGAAGCAGAGAAGAGGCUAUACUUGUUCUAGAGUACUGCUUGAGUGAUAUGGAAGAUCCUUCCUUUUAUGUUAAAUUGCAAGGCUUGUCUAUUCUUCCUGUGGCAAAUGGAUCAUUCACAACAUUCAACAAGCGUGGGGAGGGUGAGAGAGUAUUCUUCACUUCACAAAUAGAAUUUGACCUUCUUAAGGAUUCCAUACCACAUCUUGUUAUUGACAACUCUUUACCAGAUGGUGUUCUGAAGAAGUUGUAUGACAUAGCUUAUUCUGCACACAUGAACUUGUAUUUAUUCACAUGUAAUUUUCUCCUUGAACUGUUGCCUAGGAUCUUGCCACCCGAAUGGCAACAUGCUAAGCAGUUAUCUUGGUUUCCAGAGCAACAAGGUCAGCCAAGUGUGCAAUGGAUGAUGUCACUCUGGAAUUUUCUGAGGCAUUCAUGUGAAGAUAUUUCAAUUUUUGCAAAGUGGCCUAUACUACCUCUUGUAGAUGGCAAGGUUGUGCAACUUGGGAAUGCUUCAAAUGUAGUAAGAGAUGAUGGAUGGAGCGAAAAUAUGUAUUCAUUGCUUCAGAAACUGGGAUGUUUAUUUCUGCGAUCUGAUAUGCAGAUAGAGCAUCCCCAGUUAGCAAAUUUUAUUCAGGAAUCUACAGCAGCUGGUGUUUUGAAUGCUAUGCAGUCUGUAGCUUCUAAUCUCCAGGAUAUUAAGGAAUUGUUUACGGGUAUUUCAUUGGCAGAAGCACAUGAACUUCGCAGUUUUCUUUUCCAAUCAAAGUGGUUUUCAGGAAAUCAGAUCACCUCCUCCCAUAUGAGUACAAUCAGGAACCUCCCUAUAUUUGAAUCUUAUAAAUCUAGGGAGCUUGUUAAUUUGACAAAUCCUAGAAAAUGGCUUAAACCAGAAGGGGUUCAUGAAGAUUUAUUGAGUGCAAGUUUUAUAAGAACUGAAUCGGCAAAGGAGAGGUCAAUUUUGGUAUCAUACUUUGAUAUCAAGGAACCCGAAAAGGUUGACUUUUACAAGGACCAUGUUCUUCCUCGAAUGUCAGAGUUUGUAUCUCAGCCAGCUGUUGUUUCAGCAGUUAUUCAUGAUGUGAAACUGUUGAUAGAUAAUGAUAAUUCAGCGAGAGCUACAUUAUGUGAGACCCCUUUUGUCUUGGCAGCCAAUGGAGAGUGGGUCCAGCCCUCGAGGCUUUAUGAUCCCCGUGUGCCUGAGUUACAGAAGUUGCUGAACAAAGAAACCUUCUUUCCUUCAGAAAAGUUCAUGAUGAAUGAUAUUAUUGAACUGUUGGCUAGUUUUGGACUAAAAAGAAAUUUCGGGUUUAGUACUUUGCUUGACAUGGCGAGAUCAGUUUCCUUGGCGCAAGUUUCAGGACAAGAGGAUGCAUUUGCGUGUGGGCAAAAGGUAAUUACCUAUCUCAACGUUCUUGAAUCCAAGACUUCAAACAUGGAGGACAGUAAAACUUCCCUCAAGGAUGAGAAUCUAGAAGCAUCUGAAAUCAGUGAAAUUUUGGAAGAAGAAACUGAUGGGGAUGGGUGUGACCUGAGUGACCAAACUAGUGCAGCUUUCUUCUUGAAUUUUGACCAUGAUAUGCCAGAAUAUUUGUUUUGGUCAGAGCUGAAAAAUAUUUCAUGGUGUCCAGUCCAUGUUGCACCAUUGCUCAAAGGACUUCCAUGGUUUUUAUCUGAAGAUCGUGUAGCACCUCCAGUCAUCACAAGGCCAAAAUCACAGAUGUGGCUUGUUUCAUCAAAAAUGCGAAUUCUUAGUGCUGAUUCCUGUUCCAUGUAUCUGCAAAGAAAACUUGGCUGGUGUGACCCACCAAACGUGAACAUUUUAUCCUCCCAAUUAGUUGAGCUCUCCAAGUCUUACGAUGAGCUCAAGAUAUCUUCUGCAGACGCAGACAUUGAUGCUAUUCUGCAACAGGAAGUUCAAAUAAUCUACUCAAAAUUGCAAGAUAUCAUUGGCACUACCAAUGCCAUCAUUCUAAAAGAGUAUCUGGAUGGAUUUCCAUGGGUUUAUAUAGGGGAUAGGUUUGUAACACCACAGGCACUUGCUUUUGAUUCACCUGUAAAAUAUCAUCCUUAUCUUUACACAGUUCCAUCUGAACUGUCAGAGUUUAAAAAGUUACUAUUAGAGUUGGGUGUGAGGCAGACAUUUGAUGCAAUGGAUUAUCUGAAUGUGCUUCGCCGUUUACAAGGAGAUGUGAAAGGAGAGCCGCUAUCUACAGAACAACUGAGUUUUGUUCAUUGUGUACUGGAGGCAUUGGUUGACUGUUACCCUGACAGUCAGGCACCAGAUAUGUUACUGAACUCAUUGGUGAUUCCAGAUUCAUUUGGGGUUUUGGCACCUGCUAGAAACCUUGUAUAUAAUGACGCACCCUGGAUGAAUGCUGAUUCUACUUCAAAGAAUUUCGUGCAUCUUAGCAUUGGCAAUGAUCUAGCUAAUAGGCUUGGUGUACGAUCUCUUCGCAGAUCAUCAUUGUUGGACGACGAGUUAAUGAGGAAUUUGCCAUGCAUAGAAUAUGCUAAAAUAAGUGAAUUAUUGGCUUUAUAUGGCGAGAGUGACUUUCUUUUGUUUGACCUUAUCGAGCUAGCAGACUAUUGCAAUGCAAAGAAAGUGCAUCUGAUCUAUGAUAAAAGAGAACAUCCCAAGCAGUCCUUGCUGCAGCAGAGUCUAGGUGAACUCCAAGGUUCUUCAUUGACAGUGGUCUUUGAAGGAACCAUGAUGAACCGAGAAGAAGUUUGUAGCCUCCAACUUCCUCCUCCCUGGAAAUUGAGGGGAAACAUGCUUAACUAUGGCUUGGGACUUCUUAGCAGUUACUUUGUGUGCGAUACAUUGACUAUUCUUUCUGGUGGCUAUUUUUACAUCUUUGAUCCCUUGGGCUUGACUGGUGGUGCUACUUCCACUGCUACCUCAUCAGCUAGAUACUUCUCUUUGUUAGGAAAUGAUUUGGUCAAGAGGUUUCAUGAUCAGUUCCUCCCAAUGCGUGUUACACAGGAUGCUUCACUAUCUACUGCAAACUCCACAAUUAUUCGAAUGCCUUUAUCAUCAAAAUGCUUGAAAGAACUUGAAGCAGGUUCCAAUAGAGUAAAACAGAUUUUUGAUCGAUUUACACAGAAUCCAUCCAGUACUCUGCUGUUCCUGAGGUCAGUCAUUCAGGUAUCUUUGUCAACAUGGGAGGAUGGAGCCUCUCAGCCAACCCUAAACUAUUCUGUACUUGUUGAUCCAUCAGUUGCUUCUUUGAGGAAUCCAUUUUCGGAAAAGAAAUGGAGGAAGUUCCAAAUAUCCAGAAUAUUUUCAAGUACAAGUGCAGCUAUCAAGAUGCAAGCUAUAGAUGUGCAUGUGAUUGAAAGUGGCUGCAGUUAUAUUGACAAGUGGUUUGUUUCUCUUUCCCUUGGAUCAGGUCAAACACGAAACAUGGCUCUGGACAGGCGGUAUCUUGCCUAUAACCUGACCCCUGUCGCUGGAGUAGCAGCACACAUAGCUCGAAAUGGAGUAUCAACCAAUAUUCAUCCAUCCAGCUGUAUACUAUCUCCCUUACCGCUAUCUGGAUUUUUGAACAUGCCAGUUACAACUCUGGGUCAUUUCAUUGUGAGGCAUAGUGGUGGGCGCUACAUUUUUGGCAGCGCACAUGAUGCAUCUCUGCCGGAACUUAAAUUGGACAGAGACAGAUUGGUUGAGGCAUGGAAUAAAGAACUCAUGCUAUGCGUGCGUGACUCAUAUGUUGAGAUGGCCCUUGAAUUUCAGAAGCUUAAAAAGGACCCUCUAUCUUCUACUAUUGAACUAAGGUCUGCAGAGUCCAUGAGUGCUAUAUUACAAACAUACGGUGAUAGGGUAUACUCUUUUUGGCCAAGGUCGAAGCAGUAUCCAACUUCAUUCACUGGACAUGGUUCUAUUGUAAUCAAUUCAGAUUCACCUAGAGCAUCCAAAGCAGAUUGGCAAUCCUUAAUAGAGCAAGUGAUAAGACCUUUCUAUCUACGCUUAGCUGAUCUUCCAGUUUGGCAACUUUACCGUGGAAAUCUUGUUAAAGUGGAUGAGGGUAUGUUCUUAGCCCACUCAGGAAAUGGAGAUAAUGAUAACCUCCCAUCAGCUAGUGUUUGUAGUUUCAUUAAAGAGCACUAUCCUGUUUUUUCUGUACCAUGGGAGUUGGUUAGCGAAAUUCAGGCAGUUGGAGUUACCAUAAGAGAGAUCAGGCCUAAAAUGGUUCGGGAUCUACUGAAAGCUUCUUCGUCAAUUUUACUUCGAUCCAUCGAAACAUAUAUAGAUGUUCUUGAAUAUUGCUUCUCAGAUAUGGAUCCUUACCGCUUCUCAGAUCUUCAUAUACCUGAUGAAUCACGAGUUACCAGCCAACAUGUUGGAACAAUGCAUUCUUCCAGCUCACAUUCUAUGCCAUCUUCGAGCAGCUCACUGUCUUACAAUUCAAGUACUCAGUUGCCAGGUACCUCUGGAGGUGAUGCGCUGGAAAUUAUGACAUACUUUGGAAAAGCCCUAUAUGACUUUGGCAGGGGGGUUGUUGAGGAUAUCAGCAAAACCAGUGGCCCAGCAUCCCACAGAUCUCAAGCUACUGAAAAUAAUGUGUUGUCAUCUAUCAUUGCUGAGCUCAAAGGUGUUCCAUUUCCAACAUCGAGAAAGUGUCUAACGAGGCUGGGGGUUUCUGAACUCUGGAUAGCCAAUGAGGAGCAGCAGCUACUGAUGAGCCCUUUGCUGGAUCACUUUAUCCACUAUAAAUGUCUGGAAAAGCCCUUCUUGGCGCUGCUACUAUCCACUCAGGUAAUCCAUGGGCCUCUGAAGUUGAGGAGUUUUUCUCCUCAGUUAUUAGCAGGUUAUUUGAAGCACAUACUUGAUGAGCAUUGGGUACAAUUUGCACUAAAGAACAAGUCCUCAUGGAUUCCUUGGGAUAAUAAUGCUGAAUCAUCAACUGCUUGGCCAACACCGAAAUGGAUUAGAAGCUUCUGGACAAUAUUUAGUUCCUUGAAUGGUGACCUUUCUCUUUUGUCUGAUUGGCCCUUAAUUCCUGCUUAUUUGGACAAGCCAGUCCUCUGUCGUGUAAAGGAAUGCCAUCUACUAUUUGUGCCACCAACAAAUAUAGUUACUGGGCCUGUUGAUGAUGUAUCUGGACAUCUGGAUAUAUCAGAUCCACCCAGAGAUGAUGCAAGAGAAGCGGAACAGAAGAAUGCACUUGAUACUACAUUUGAGUCAAUGAACUCAAAGUUUCCAUGGCUACCUGUGCUGCUUAACCAGUUGAAUGUACCAAUUUUUGAUUCCUCUUUCCCAGAGUGUGGUGCAAUAUGCAAUUUGUUUCCUUCAAAUAGUCAGACUCUUGGACAGACAAUUGUUUCUAAGUUGGUUGCAGCAAAAAAUGGUACCCAUUUACCUUCACCACUUAGUCUAUCAAGUGGAGACUGCGAUAGACUAUUUGAAUUAUUUGUUUCGGAGUUCAGAUUAGCUAGCAACUACUUGUAUGAGAGAGAAGAAUUGGAUGUCUUGAGAACACUUCCAAUCUAUAAGACAGUUACAGGAACAUACACCAGUCUGUUAGGAUCUGAUCAUUGCAUUCUUUCUCCAAGCGCAUUCUUUCACCCCAGUGAUGACCGAUGCCUUUCUUGCUCAUCUGGUGCAACCUUGUUUCUUCAGGCUUUGGGGGUUGAACAACUAAGUGAUCAUGAAAUAUUGGUGAAGUUUGCACUGCCUGGAUUUGGAAAUAAAACAGCUCAAGAGCAGGAUGACAUUUUGACAUACUUGUAUGCUAACUGGAAAGAUCUACAGCUGAAUUCUGCUGUAGUAGAAAUUUUAAAGGAGACAAACUUUGUGGCCAAUGCAAACGAAUUUUGUAAAGAGUUUUUCAAACCAAAGGAAUUACUUGACCCUUCAGAUGCUUUGCUGACUUCAGUAUUCUCUGGGGAGAGAGAUAAGUUUCCUGCUGAAAGGUUCAUGUCAGAUGCUUGGCUUGGUAUACUCAGAAAAGCAGGCCUUCGAACAUCCACAGAGGCUGAUAUGAUUGUACAGUGUGCAACAAAAAUAGAAACAUUGGGGCAUGAUGUCAUGUCACCUCUAGAGGAUCCUGAUGACUUUGUGGCAGACUUCUCAGACAGCAAAAAUGAAAUUCCUUUUGAGAUAUGGUCUUUGGCAGAAUCAGUUGUUAAUGUGAUUUUGGCAAAUUUUGCUACUUUGUAUGACAGUUCUUUUUGUGAAAAGAUUGGAAAAAUUGCAUUUGUGCCUGCUGAAAAAGGUUUUCCAAGUAUUGGUGGUAAGAGAGGUGGUAGAAGGGUACUUGCCUCAUAUAACGAAGCUAUCUUAUCAAAAGACUGGCCAUUAGCAUGGAGUUCUGCACCAAUUCUUACCAAGCAAACAAUUGUCCCUCCUGAAUAUUCAUGGGGAGCAUUUCAGCUUAGGAGCCCUCCUUCCUUCAGUACAGUUUUCAGGCACUUGCAGAUUGUUGGGAGAGGCAAUGGUGAGGACACACUAGCACACUGGCCAACUUCUUCAGGAAUAAUGACGGUGGAAGAUGCCUUUCAGCAGAUCUUGCAAUACUUGGAUAAAAUAUGGGGAACAAUAUCUUUCACAGAAAAAAAAGAAUUGGAGAAACUGGCAUUUAUACCAGUUGCAAAUGGUACCCGCUUAGUUCCGGUGAAAUCGCUUUUUGCUCGUUUGACAAUUAACAUGUCACCUUUUGCUUUUGAGCUUCCAAGUCGGUAUCUUCCAUUUGUCUCUCUUCUUAGAGAAAUUGGGAUGCAGGACAACCUUACAGACUCUUAUGCCAGAGAACUUCUUUUGGAUAUCCAAAAGGCGUGUGGAUACCAGCGAUUGAACCCAAAUGAACUCCGUGCAGUGAUGGAAAUCUUGCACUUCAUGUGUUCUGGAAUCAACCAAAAUACCACAGAUCGAUCAGAUGGGAUUAUCGAUUCAGUAAUACCAGAUGAUGGCUGCAGGCUGGUCACUGCUUCAUCAUGUGUAUAUGUUGACCCAUAUGGUUCUCAUUUACUGAGUAACAUAAAUACAUCAAGGCUAAGAUUUUCUCAUCCAGAUCUUCCUCAGAAUAUUUGCAAGGCCUUGGGCAUAAAAAGGCUCUCGGAUGUCAUUGUAGAGGAACUCGAUGGAAAAGAAGGAAUUAAGCCGGUCAAUAGCAUUCACUCACUUACUCUAGACAGAAUAAAAGAGAAGCUGCAAAGUAAAUCCUUGCAAGAUGCUUUAAGAAUUGUGAUGAUCAGCAUAGCCAAUCAUUUCCCUUCAUUUGAAGCUCUCACUUUGGUCCAGAUCGAAUGUAUACUAGAGGACAUAUCAAAGAAUCUGCAGUUGGUUCAGUGCCUCCAUACUCGCUUUCUCUUACUUCCCAGUCUACAAGAUGUUACAAAAACCGUUCAGCAUCCUUGCAUUCCUGAAUGGUCAAGCAAUGGAAUGCACCGAAGCAUUUGUUUCAUCAACAAAUCUACGGGUUGUAUCCUAGUUGCAGAGCCCCCUAGUUUUUUGACAGUAUAUGAUGUUAUUGCAAUUGUUGUUAGCCACAGAUUGGGGGCACCAGUAAUCUUGCCAAUUGCUUCAUUGUUUGCAUGCCCAGAUGGCUCAGAGAAAGAAGUCCUUAAAAUACUUAAUCUGGGCACUGACAUUAGAGUUUCAAAAUGUGAAGGGAGGUACGAUGCUUCCCUGGGAGCAGAGUUGUUAUCACAAGAUGCUCGUCAGGUGCAAUUCCUUCCUCUAAGACCAUUCUAUACUGGCGAAAUUGUGGCAUGGAAGACAGGAAAAGAGGGGGAAAAGCUCAGGUAUGGUAGGGUCCCUGAAGAUGUAAGACCCUCAGCUGGCCAAGCACUUUAUAGAUUUCCAGUGGAAACAUCUCCUGGGGAGACUCGCAUGCUGCUUUCGAGUCAGGUUUACUCAUUUAAAAGUGUUUCAAUGGCUGAUCUCUCAUCCACACCUUUCCAAGUGGAUGGUGAUAGAGUGGCACAAGGUGGGCUGGUGGACCUCUUGUCGAUCAACACUAGCACUGAAGUCGCCGAGGACUUGGCUCAUGGGCUUGAAUAUGGCAAAGUGUCUUCCACUGAGCUGGUACAAGCAGUCCAUGAUAUGCUUUCAGCUGCAGGAGUAAGGAUGGAUGCUGAGAAGGAAACACUGCUGCAGGCUACUCUUUCCUUGCAAGAUCAGCUUAAAGAAUCUCAAGUUGCUCUCUUGGUGGAGCAGGACCAACUUUGCGGCACAACUAAUUGACAUUGGUGAUAUAACUUUGUUGGCAAGGUUCCAUUACUGAUGGCAUGCAGUUGUAUUCAUGGAACAAGUUGUAAAUUCACCUCAAGUUAGAUGACAUGUAUAUACAACAGAGGGAGUAUUGGACUGUUGAAUUUGAAUACGAUGUGGAUAGUACAUCUUUUAUUGAAAGAUACAAUGUCACAUGUAUGAAUUUGAAUAUGAUGUAAAUAAUACAUCUUUUAUUGAAAGAUACAAUGUCACACCUACAUCUGUCAAACACCUACAAGGAUUUGAAUAGCAAGGAAAGCACUGCUUGGGUCAUGGGGGAAGUCCUUACUCCUUACCAUAUUCGUACUAAUCGAAUUUAGGAGAAGGCCGAGGCCGCCAUUAGAGAAGCUGAUGUUGCCAAGGCAGCUUGGUCAUGCCGUAUCUGCCUGAAUGCUGAGGUCAACAUGACUAUAGUACCAUGCGGCCAUGUCCUAUGUAACCGAUGCUCUAGUUCGGUUUCACGAUGCCCAUUUUGCCGGACGCAGGUGUCCAGAAUGAUGAAAAUAUUCAGGCCAUAAAAAUACCCAAGGCCAUUUGAUCUGGCUUUAGUGUGGAUGUUUUACGGAUUACGAUAUUGGGCUUCCUGGUGGUGGUGGUUCUUCGCAACAAGAAUUGCAUAUCACUCUCCAUGAUGUGCUAAAAUGGCACUGUUGCUGUGGCCCUUCGGUAGGAGUGUAAAUAUAGUUAGUUUGUACAGUCACAAUACACUGUAGUGUACAGAUUAUUUUACAAAAUCAUUGGCCAAUUAAAGGCUUCAAUCCAUGCUCUCGUACGUUAUCCGAA